rnacentral:tRNA from 1 species
UGCAGAGUGUUAGCAGUGGUAGCUUAUCUGGUUCAUGCCCAGAAGGUCGGGAGUUCGAAUCUCUCCUCUGCACCCA